UACGAAGGGGGCUAGCGUUGCUCGGAAUUACUGGGCGUAAAGCGUGCGCAGGCGGUUUGCUAAGACCGAUGUGAAAUCCCCGGGCUUAACCUGGGAACUGCAUUGCUGACUGGCAGGCUAGAGUAUGGCAGAGGGGGGUAGAAUUCCACGUGUAGCAGUGAAAUGCGUAGAGAUGUGGAGGAAUACCGAUGGCGAAGGCAGCCCCCUGGGCCAAUACUGACGCUCAUGCACGAAAGCGUGGGGAGCAAACAGG
rnacentral:rRNA from 1 species